rnacentral:rRNA from 1 species
GAUGAACGCUGGCGGCGUGCCUAAUACAUGCAAGUCGAGCGUACGGACGAGAAGCUUGCUUCUCUGAUGUUAGCGGCGGACGGGUGAGUAACACGUGGAUAACCUACCUAUAAGACUGGGAUAACUUCGGGAAACCGUAGCUAAUACCGGAUAAUAUUUUGAACCGCAUGGUUCAAAAGUGAAAGACGGUCUUGCUGUCACUUAUAGAUGGAUCCGCGCUGCAUUAGCUAGUUGGUAAGGUAACGGCUUACCAAGGCAACGAUGCAUAGCCGACCUGAGAGGGUGAUCGGCCACACUGGAACUGAGACACGGUCCAGACUCCUACGGGAGGCAGCAGUAGGGAAUCUUCCGCAAUGGGCGAAAGCCUGACGGAGCAACGCCGCGUGAGUGAUGAAGGUCUUCGGAUCGUAAAGCUCUGUUAUUAGGGAAGAACAUAUGUGUAAGUAACUGUGCACAUCUUGACGGUACCUAAUCAGAAAGCCACGGCUAACUACGUG